UUCAGGGAUGUUUACAAUAGUUACUUCUGAGAAAGAGAAGAUAGUUUUGAACUAUUUAAAAAUGUUAUCUUGGUGUGAGGAGUUUAGUAAAAGUUGCAGACCAGAAGCAUUUGGCUAAAACUUGGAAGGGGUUAUUUGAAGCUGAAUAAGUCUAAGCUUAACGAACCUUAUCAUAGCAAUUUAUCUGAAAUUUAAGAUACAUGAUGAUGGUUUUAGCAUUUAUUGGUGUAGAACAGUCAAAAUUAACUUGAUAUCAAACUUUAAUGUUUUAGUUUUUUUCAUUGCCAACUUUUUCUAUGCAUGUUAGUUUAAAUUGAAGUCAAUUUGAGGAUUGAAGACUAAGUGUUUAAUUACAAAUAUUCACUUUCAGCCGUACAUUGACUGCAGUACACGAUGCCAUUCUGGAAGACUUGGUUUUCCCCAGUGAAAUUGUGGGCAAGAGAAUUCGUGUGAAACUGGAUGGUACAAGGCUAAUCAAAGUACAUUUGGACAAGGCACAACAGAACAAUGUAGAACACAAAGUGGAUACAUUUUCAGCUGUCUACAAGAAACUAACUGGCAAGGAUGUUGUAUAUGAAUUCCCAGAGUUCCAACUGUAAAUUGUAAAGAAUGGCCUGAAUAAAAAAAAAAGUCAAUACUG